rnacentral:rRNA from 1 species
UCAGUAACGCGUNGAUAACCUACCCAAGGGACGGGAACACCCCCGGGAAACUGGGGCUAAUNNNGAUAGGCGAGGUACCUGGAACUGGGUCNUCACCNAAAGGUGGAGGGGACGAUGCUUUCCUCCAUGCCCUNGGAUGGGACUACGUUCGAUCAGGUUGUUGGUGGGGUAACGGCCCACCAAGCCUAUAACCGAUACGGGCCCUGAGAGGGGUAGCCCGGAGAUGGGGACUGAGACAAGGCCCUAGGCCNUACGGGGCGCACCCGCUACGAAAAUUCCCCAAUGCGUGAAAGCGUGAGGGAGUUAUCCCGAGUGUCACCUGCUGAAGGUGACUUUUCGUUAGUCUUCAAAGCUGGCGGAAUAAGGGGAGGGUAAGCCGGGUGUCAGCCGCCGCGGUAAUACCCGCUCCCCGAGUGGUGAGGACGAUUAUUGGGCUUAAAGCGUCCGUAGCCGGCUCUGCAAGUUUCCCGUUAAAUCCAGCGGCUUAACCGUUGGGCCGCGGGAAAUACUACGGAGCUCGGAGGCGGGAGAGGUCAUCGGUAGUCCUGGGGUAGGGGCAAAAUCUUCUGAUCCCAGGAGGACCACCAGUGGCGAAGGCGGAUGACCAGAACGCGCUCGACGGUGAUGGACGAAAGCUGGGGGAGCGAACCGGAUUAGAUAUGGAUCGAAGUGAAAUUCAUCCACUGAAGACCCGGGUAGUCCCAGCUGUAAACUAUGCAGGCUAUGUGUCGGGGCGGCCACGAGCUGUCCCGGUGCCGCAGGGAAACCAUUAAGCCUGCCGCCUGGGGAGUACGGCCGCAAGGCUGAAUUACGGAGCUCUUAGAGUAGAAUAGAAUUUCUAGGAAACUCCGUACAGCUGACUUAAAGGAAUUGGCGG